UGAACACACAUAGCACACACUCACUCUGUCCAAGGCAGGAGAUGGGGAGGAGGUGGGAGGGGCUGGGGAAGGGGUAUGGGCUCCAGAGUGCUGGCGGCCAGACAGGACCUACUUCCCGACUCUCCCUGCCCACAGAUUCUGCUGUCCAGCUGCUCCCUGUGCCGUGCCUGUGAUUCACUGGUGUACGAUGAGGAAAUCAUGGCUGGCUGGGCACCUGAUGACUCUAACCUCAACACAACCUGCCCCUUCUGCGCCUGCCCCUUUGUGCCCCUGCUCAGUGUCCAGACCCUUGAUUCCCGGCCCAGUGUCCCCAGCCCCAAGUCUGCUGGUGCCAGUGGCAGCAAAGAUGCUCCUGUCCCUGGAGGUCCUGGCCCUGUGCUCAGCGACCGCAGGCUCUGCCUUGCUCUGGAUGAGCCCCAGCUCUGCAACGGGCACAUGGGGGUAAGGGCUGGGCCAAAGGGGCAUGAGGAAUGGGAAUGUUGCUGUGUGGGGCCUAUGGAGUGCCAGGGAGAGAUGGGCACAUCUCUUGCCCUUGAGGGCAA
rnacentral:sRNA from 1 species